rnacentral:rRNA from 1 species
GAUGAACGCUAGCGGCAGGCUUAAUACAUGCAAGUCGAGGGGUAGCAAGAUUGUAGCAAUACAAUUGUUGACGACCGGCAAACGGGUGCGGAACACGUACACAACCUUCCUACAAGUGGGGAAUAGCCCAGAGCAAUUUGGAUUAAUACCCCGUAACAUAGCGAUGUGGCAUCACAUUGCUAUUAUAGCUUCGGCGCUUGUUGAUGGGUGUGCGGCUGAUUAGAUAGUUGGCGGGGUAACGGCCCACCAAGUCUACGAUCAGUAGCUGAUGUGAUAGCAGGAUCAGCCACACGGGUACUGAGACACGGGCCCGACUCCAACGGGAGGCAGCAGUAAGGAAUAUUGGACAAUGGAGGCAAGUCUGAUCCAGCCAGGCCGCGUGAAGGAUUAAGGUCCUCUGGAUUGUAAACUUCUUUUAUAAGGAACGAAAAAAGGUCUUUCUAGAUCGUCUGACGGUACCUUAUGAAUAAGCACCGGCUAACUCCGUGCCAGCCGCCGCCGUAACAC